rnacentral:tRNA from 1 species
AGUCUUAUAUUCAAGUAAUGAUAACAGAAUGCAAUUCUGUAGGGGUAAAUUUAAUUUACUAAGACUU